rnacentral:rRNA from 1 species
UACGGAGGGGGCUAGCGUUGUUCGGAAUUACUGGGCGUAAAGCGCACGUAGGCGGCUUUGUAAGUUAGAAGUGAAAGCCCAGGGCUUAACCCUGGAAUUGCCUUUAAGACUGCAUCGCUAGAAUCGUGGAGAGGUGAGUGGAAUUCCGAGUGUAGAGGUGAAAUUCGUAGAUAUUCGGAAGAACACCAGUGGCGAAGGCGGCUCACUGGCUCGUAUCUGACGCUCAGGCGCGAUAGCGUGGGGAUCAAACAGG